CAAGUCGAGGGGUAAGGCUUCUUCGGAGAGCACACGACCGGCGCACGGGUGAGUAACGCGUAUGUAACCUUCCUCUUUCAGGAAGAUAGCUCCCGGAAACGGGAAUUAAUAUUCCAUAGUCCAUAAUAAUCACAUGAUUAGUAUGGUAAAGUUCCGACGGAAAGAGAUGGACAUGCGUGUCAUUAGUUAGUUGGUGAGGUAACGGCUCACCAAGACGACGAUGACUAGGGGUUCUGAAAGGAUGAUCCCCCACACUGGUACUGAGACACGGACCAGACUCCUACGGGAGGCAGCAGUGAGGAAUAUUGCGCAAUGGAGGCAACUCUGACGCAGCCAUGCCGCGUGCAGGAGGACGGCCCUACGGGUUGUAAACUGCUUUUCUUAACUAAGAACCGUGGAUAAUCUUAUCCACCUGACUGGUUUUGGAAUAAGCAUCGGCUAACUCCGUGCCAGCAGCCGCGGUAAUACGGAGGAUGCAAGCGUUAUCCGGAUUCACUAGGUUUAAAGGGUGCGUAGGCGGAAUAAUAAGUCAGUGGUGAAAUCUUGCGGCUCAACCGUAAAAUUGCCAUUGAUACUGUUAUUCUUGAGUAUGGUUGAGGUAGGCGGAAUGAGUAAUGUAGCGGUGAAAUGCUUAGAUAUUACUCAGAACACCGAUUGCGUAGGCAGCUUACCAAGCCAUCACUGACGCUGAGGCACGAAAGCGUGGGUAGCAAACAGGAUUAGAUACCCUGGUAGUCCACGCCGUAAA
rnacentral:rRNA from 1 species